GUGUAUAUGGCACAGGAGGUUUCAGAAUGAAGAAACGUCAUUGAGUGCAGCGUUGAUGAAGUCCUUAAUUUCCGAUGAUAUUCAUGGAGGCGAAGUUAAGGAGAUUUCAUCAACGCUGCACCCAAUUAUGUUUCUAUCCCUUCUAGACAUUUGCAAGUGUUUUUAUUAUAGAUCUUCUUCUUCAACAUUGAGAUUCUGGAAAGUUGACUUUUUGAGAAGAAAAAUAAAAGUGCUGUAUCUUUCUGAGGAGAAACGGAAAAUUACAAUGAAAAGCCUCUCGGACAACUAAAAUUUUGAAUAUCCAAAUUGAGAGCUGAAACCACUGUAGCAGAAACGCUAUUGAUCCUAAUCAUCGGAGAAUGAAGAUUAUAGCCACAGGAAGUAACAGCAUCCGCUAAAAAAUUUGCUUCCCAAAAAAUAUGGGAGAAGGAAGAAGCCAACAUCUUGAUAUCCCGGAUGAGAUACUUGAGCUUCCAAGGAACUUCACAGGUCCUCUUUAUACAAUUAAUAACAAAAAGGGACAUCUUUGAGCGCUGAACAUUGUACACUUGUUUUAAUAUAUAAAUAAUUUUCAUGUCAUAUAUUAUACAUGUAACUAGCUAGUAAUUGAACUUUGGUUUAUUUA